rnacentral:rRNA from 1 species
AGUGAACGCUGGCGGUAGGCCUAACACAUGCCAGUCGAACGGCAGCACAGUAAGAGCUUGCUCUUACGGGUGGCGAGUGGCGGACGGGUGAGGAAUACAUCGGAAUCUACUUUUUCGUGGGGGAUAACGUAGGGAAACUUACGCUAAUACCGCAUGCGACCUACGGGUGAAAGCAGGGGAUCUUCGGACCUUGCGCGAUUGAAUGAGCCGAUGUCGGAUUAGCUAGUUGGCGGGGUAAAGGCCCACCAAGGCGACGAUCCGUAGCUGGUCUGAGAGGAUGAGCAGCCACAAUGGAACGGAGACACGGUCCAGACUCCUACGGGAGGCAGCAGUGGGGAAUAUUGGACAAUGGGCGAAAGCCUGAUCCAGCCAUGCCGCGUGUGUGAAGAAGGCCUUCGGAUUGUAAAGCCUUUUAAUUGGGGAGGAAAGGCAGUAAGUUAAUACCUUGCUGUUUUGACGUUACCAAAAGAAUAAGCACGGGCUAACUUCGUG